rnacentral:lncRNA from 1 species
CCUUAAACAUUUACGGUAUCGUUGUCUUUUUAAAUAGUUAUAUAGGCUUCACAUGGAGAAUUUUGGAAACACAGAAGAGUAAAAUCAAAUAAAAAUCAUCUAAAAUAUCACCUUCAAGAGAAAGUUGUAGUCACUAUGAACAUUCUGGUUUGUAUUGUCUUUUGGUCUUUUGCAUUUAUACCCUUUUCCUAGAUAAAAGUGGAAUUAAUGUAUGUGACUUUGAUUUCAUUAUGAACAUGUACAAGGAGUGUUUCUACAAAUGCCCUUUCUGUUGUCAUUUUCCCUGGAGAUUAAAAUCUCAAACUAGAUGCACUUCCUCUGUCACAGCUUAUUCACAUAAGCAGCCUUCUUAAAACCAAUGGUCCCCACUAAUAAGACAUACACAUGAAUGCCCCACAGCCAAGUACAUUAAAGGAGAAACAGCUACCCCUUCUUUAUAUUUUUGCAUGUACAACAGACAUUGGCUGAGAUGUAUCAGCUGCUCUGAAGGGCAAGAUUGGAAAAUUAAACUUCCAUGAACCAAAAGUCAAAAAUCAAAGCACAAUCACCCAUGCCACAUUGAACUUGGAAGGAUGUAUAAAUAAGAUAAUGCUUUGAACAAACACUGCUGGAAUAUGGAAGAAGUCGUUCUUAGCCAAGCAUUGCCUUUGAGGUUCACUCCAAAAACCAGGCAACCCUUUGGGAGAGCUGGCCUCAUAAUUCUGAGUGUCUCAAGUGUGGCAAUUCCAGUUCAUGAGUGCUAACAUGAUUUGUGAAGACGAUACACACACAACUGGCCUCAUACUCAAAGUCUGACAAGAUCUUUUUCCUGGCAUGUAUUGCUGGCUGAUUGCUCUCAGUCCUUAAGAUGGAGGAGACAUACAGGGAGAAUGCUUUGGAGGCGAAUACAGAACCUGUAAUUUCUCACAUUUCUCUUUGCUUGGUAGUUAAUGAGCAAACAUUCCCUUCUCCACCUUAUCUCUUUUGAGGUCAUAUCAGCAAUUAUCUGCCCUCAGUGCAAAACUACCUGAAUAAUUCUUAAUGCAGAAGAGCUUAUCAGUUGUCUUUCAUUCCCUUUUGUCCAAGAAUGAUCAGCAGUAAAAUAUUUCAAACACACAGAAAAAGAGAGGUAAAUAAAACCACCCAGACUUGACAGAGGUGAACACUCCACUGUAUGCAUACACUUAAUAUAUUUUUAAAUAAAGCUCUUCACUCAUCACUGCCACAUUUAUAAGACUAUUUGGCUUUUUGCUGUAACAGGUCCUAUGAACACAUCUUUGUGUAUAAAUCUCUGAAGUGGCUGCACAGCUCUCAGCUCCACAGUCUGUACUGUUCCAAUAUGGCCCACGUCACAGGGCAGGGGCUGAGACCAAGUGCUGUGGUGGUUGCAGUGUGGCUUUGGGUCCAUUCAGAUUUGAGUUCCAAUCCUGCCAACUAGCCAAGCAAGUUUUGACAGAUGUCUGUACCUCGUUUCUCAUUUAUAAAAUAGGAAUAAUAACACCUACCUUGUAGAGAUGUUGGGAGGUGAUGUUAAGUAAAGCAUCGGAAGAGUACCCAGCAUGUGCUAAGUGGUUAAGAUCAGCUUGUGCAUCUCUUGCAUGUACCAAACAACCCUUACAGAGCAUGGGUCCAUAUCCAACUGAAACCAAUCAACCACUACCUAGAUAAUUAAGAUAAUUAACAACCCCUUACAUGCGGGCUGAUACAUGUCACCAUCUCUAGCUCAGUGAAAUGGCAGUCUUUUUUUUUUUUUUUUUUUUUUUUUUUUUUUUAAUAUUGGUUACAAAAGCAAGGUGCCCUGUGACCACAGACAUUAUUUGGCUGUCUUUAUUUAAGCAUCUUCUUCUUUUCAUAUCCUUAGGUUUGUCUAUUGUCCUUAGAGCAAAUGGCCUUUAAAAGGCCACACCGUUUAACUCAGUGGUUCUUAACCAUGGCUGAGGCUCAAACUCA